rnacentral:misc_RNA from 1 species
GAAAUGCGAUAAGUAAUGUGAAUUGCAGAAUUCCGUGAAUCAUCGAAUCUUUGAACGCACAUUGCGCCCCCUGGUAUUCCGGGGGGCAUGCCUGUCCGAGCGUCAUUUCAACCCUCAAGCACGGCUUGUGUGAUGGGCCACGCGUCCGCGCGUGGACUCGCCCCAAAGUGAUUGGCAGCCGGCGUACUGGUCCCGGAGCGCAGCACAUGUCGCGCAAACGAGUGCCUUGGUACGGCGGCGUCCAUAAGCCCCUCUCUCACGCUCUUGACCUCGGAUCAGGUAGGGAUACCCGCUGAACUUAAGC